rnacentral:rRNA from 1 species
GUCUACGGCCUUGCCACCCUGAACAACCCAGAUCCCAUCUGAUCUUGGAAGCUAAGCAGGAUCAGGCCUGGUUAGUACUUGGAUGGGAGACCACCUAGGAAGAUCAGAUGCUGUAGGCA